GUUAACUAAAUAAGUUACUUCCUGUCCUGAAAUGCACCUCUCUUUCCAUCCCAACACAACAGUCAUAUUUCUCAUAAAUGCAGGUCCAAGCAAAAUCUGUAAAACGUUGCUGCUCCACAUCAUUAUUCUGGCUUUGGUUUUGUCUUACGGAUGUGCACAAAUAUAUCUGAGACAAGCUCAGGUGUCUGUUACCAGGGCAGAAAAUAAAACUGCAGGUAUAGACUGUGUGGCUUCUGGCAUUCAGAACUUCAGGAGCGCUGUUAUACACUGGUAUCGACACAGACCUGGUGAAGCUCCAGAGCAGAUUCUGUACAUCUCAUCUGAAAAACUUGAAUUUCACAAAGACUCUGACGAGAACAAGUUUAAUUGUGAAAAGCCGCCUCACCAGCCCAUCUCUACCCUAACAGUAAAUAAAAUAGCUCCUAUUGAUUGAGCUACCUAUUAUUGUGCCUAUUGGGAUCGCACAGUGUUAGAAAGCCAUAGACAGCCUGUAAAAAAACAAAAAAACAAAAAAAAAAAGCCCACUCUGAAUACUGAGCCAUAUCCCAUCAAAUUUAUGAAACUACAGCUACCUCCCUGAUUUUGCCAUUCGGCUGUAGAAACUCCACACUAGCUUAUUUAAAAAAAAACAAAAACACUCAACAUGAUUAAUAAAAAUCUUUAUUGUGAAGUAGUUAAGGUCACCACAUAUAUAAAAUACCCGAUUCAAAGCCAGAAAAAACUAAGUACCAUGACCACAGGUCCUAUAAUACCACCGGUAGUGGUGUGGAGGUAAGCAUAGUGUUCAGUGAUCACUCAGUGUUAAGGAGCUUGCAAAAGAGCUGCUUUUCUCUGUGUCAGAUUCCAACUGGCUAUUCAUAGCAACAAACGCUUCGAUGCCCCACCCAGACUCUGGCUGGGAAUCUCAGACCUUACAGGCACAGUCCCCUGUACCACACAGGGAAUAUUGCUGAAGGCUUUUACUCUGGGGAAAAUAUAAUCAUUAAAAUAGAAACAGGCAGUGAUUUGUCUUCAAUGGGAUGGCAGUAAAGCAUUUAAGAUUAAACAUGGGCUUAAUGCAGAUGCUUUCCUGA